GACGAACGCUGGCGGCGUGCUUAACACAUGCAAGUCGAACGGAAAGGCCCCUUUGGGGGUCCUCGAGUGGCGAACGGGUGAGUAACACGUGAGUAACCUGCCCUUGACUUCGGGAUAACUUCAGGAAACUGGGGCUAAUACCGGAUAGGAAUCCUUGCUGCAUGGUGGGGGUUGGAAAGCUUCGGCGGUUUUGGAUGGACUCGCGGCUUAUCAGCUUGUUGGUGGGGUAGUGGCUUACCAAGGCUUUGACGGGUAGCCGGCCUGAGAGGGCGACCGGCCACAUUGGGACUGAGAUACGGCCCAGACUCCUACGGGAGGCAGCAGUGGGGAAUAUUGCACAAUGGGCGGAAGCCUGAUGCAGCAACGCCGCGUGCGGGAUGACGGCCUUCGGGUUGUAAACCGCUUUCAGCGGGGGCGAAGCUUGUGGUGACGGUACCUGCAGAAGAAGCACCGGCUAACUACGUG
rnacentral:rRNA from 1 species